AGAAUCAACGCUGGCGGCGUGCCUCAGACAUGCAAGUCGAACGCGAAAGUCCCCUUCGGGGGACAAGUAGAGUGGCGCACGGGUGAGUAACACGUAGGUAAUCUACCUUCGGAUGGGGAAUAACAACCGGAAACGGUUGCUAAUACCGCAUAAUGCAGCGGCACCUAAUGGUGACAGUUGUUAAAGCGGGGGAUCGAAAGACCUCGCGUCUGAAGAGGAGCCUGCGGCGGAUUAACUAGUUGGUAAGGUAAUGGCUUACCAAGGCAACGA
rnacentral:rRNA from 1 species